UACGGGGGGGGUAAGCGUUGUUCGGAAUUACUGGGCGUAAAGGGCUCGUAGGCGGCCAACUAAGUCGGACGUGAAAUCCCUCAGCUUAACUGGGGAACUGCGUCUGAUACUGGAUGGCUUGGAUUUGGGAGAGGGAUGCGGAAUUCCAGGUGUAGCGGUGAAAUGCGCAGAUAUCGGGAGGAACACCAGUAGCGAAGGCGGCUCGCUGGGCCACACCUGACGCUGAGACGCGAAAGCUAGGGGAGCAAACAGG
rnacentral:rRNA from 1 species